CGAGUACCACGCUGGGUUCACAUGGGACAAGCUUGUGAACACAGCUGGUGGUAUCUCAGU
rnacentral:pre_miRNA from 1 species